rnacentral:lncRNA from 12 species
GGGGGGGGGGGGGGGGGGGGGGGGGGGGGGGGGGGAUGACCUUUAUCUCGGGGUAUAUUGCCUAUGCACCUUCCUUUUCCAUUCACUUGUGCUAUUGAUAUCCCUGGGGUACUUUCUUUUCCCUUUUUCCAAAGACACUCCUGCGGAUUUGAUCUGUUGACAUUUUUGGACUCUGCUGUGGACCCAAAGCUUCAUAAAAAUAUUAAUGACCAUUUAAAGGGUUCAUGGCUUGCAUACACCCCUUUUAAAAGCAUUAAACAAAUUAUUCCUAACUGGAGGUAGCAGCUUCCCCAAUGCCCGCAACUUAUUUGCCAAUGGUUUCUUUGAUUGUUUUGGUGUCUUUUUGUCCUGCCCCUCUGACGGCUUUUGGCCCUGAUUUCUGGUCUCCUCUUUGCACCUGGGCGACCCUCUCCACAGUAUUUUCCUCCUCUGCCUCGCCCAUCAACCCGGUUGCAAUGAGCUAUGGGGAGCUCCAUUUUCUCGGCAGCAAGAGUAUUCUUCAGGAGGGGUACUUGUCCCAUGCUUUUUGAUGCGUUUUAUGUA